CAAAUGAUGAAACAUUUGCACAGAUCAGAGUGAUGAGUUUCAUCCAGUCCUCAAACUGAUG
rnacentral:snoRNA from 1 species